UACGAAGGGUGCAAGCGUUAAUCGGAAUUACUGGGCGUAAAGCGCGCGUAGGUGGUUUUGUAAGUUGGAGGUGAAAUCCCCGGGCUCAACCUGGGAACUGCCUCCAAAACUGCAUGACUAGAGUACGGUAGAGGGUGGUGGAAUUUCCUGUGUAGCGGUGAAAUGCGUAGAUAUAGGAAGGAACACCAGUGGCGAAGGCGACCACCUGGACUGAUACUGACACUGAGGUGCGAAAGCGUGGGGAGCAAACAGG
rnacentral:rRNA from 2 species